rnacentral:rRNA from 1 species
ACGGCCGCGGUACCCUAACCGUGCGAAGGUAGCAUAAUCACUUGUUCUUUAAAUAGGGACUUGUAUCAACGGCAUCACGAGAGCUGCACUGUCUCCCCCCUCCAAUCAGUGAAACUGAUCUCCCCGUGAAAAAGCGGGGAUAAAAUUAUAAGACGAGAAGACCCCAUGGAGCUUUAAACCCAAUAGCAAUUUAGCAAAAUACUACUACCAAGCUACAUAGCCCUGCUAGCGGUUUUAGGUUGGGGCGACCACGGAGUAAAAACUAACCUCCAUAACGAAAAGACUAAAUCUUAACCCAAAAAUUACUAUUUAAAGUAUUAGAAUACUAACGAACUAUGACCCAAUAUUGAUCAAUGAACCAAGUUACCCUGGGGAUAACAGCGCAAUCUACUUCAAGAGUCCAUAUCGACAAGUACGGCUUACGACCUCGAUGUUGGAUCGGGGUAUCCCAGUGCUGCAGUCGCUACUGAAUGUUCGUUUGUUCAACGAUU